rnacentral:tRNA from 1 species
GGGACUGUGGCUCAGCGGUAGAGCGCUCGCCUAGCACGUGUGAGGCCCUGGGUUUGAUCCUCAGCACCA